GAGGAAGUGAGCUGCCAUGUACUAGGCCACGUGGCAAGGGCCUGGUUGGGGACCUCCAGGGGUUGAGAGCAUCCUCUGGACAACAUGGAAAAAGAAAAUGAAAAUGGUGACCUCAGCCCUAUAGCUAGAAGGAAUUGAAUCCUGUCAACAACGAUACUCAUCACUCACUGCAGAUGUUACUUUAAGACAUUCUGGAGCAGCGUCAUGUGCAGGAACAAUAAGGAAGUGAGUGCUUUUGUAAUUCCUGAACAACUGUGUCUUACACUUACUAAGGGAUUCAUGGGCAAUAUGACUGAAUAGGAACAGCUCCAGUCUGAAGCUCCCAGUGAGACCAACAUAGAAGUUCUCUUGCCUGCCACCAUGUAAGAUAUGCUUUUACUCUUCCGCCUUCCACCGUGACUGUGAGGCCUCCCCAGCCAUGUGAAACUGCCUUUGAGCUUAUACUGAAUUAUACCACCAGCUUUCCUAGGUCUUGAAGCUUACAGACAGCAGAUCUUGGGACUUCUCAGGCACCAUAAUCAAUCAUAGAUAAAUGAUCCAAUGAUUCGGAACUUGAAAAGUGGUAGCUUUAUGAAUUCUCCUUAAGAAGAAACCUGUGCCCUGAUCUUGCCUACUCACCCAAAGGCACUGUGAGAUAGCAUCAAAGGAACAGCUAGUAAGAGACACAGAGCCAGAAAUCAGGGAAGUAAAAUACACUUGACAUCUACGUUCGGAAAGAAAUUUUAGGAGGCAGAAGCAAAUGGAUCAGAAGCUGCUUAUAUUUUUGCAAGAUUACCAAAGAAACCAUUGGUGGAGAAAGUUCUGUGACCAACUUGUCUGAGUCUAGUAAGAUUGAACGCUCACACACAAGUUUCAUGAAGUGGGUUUGAUACUUACAGAUAAGCAGCAAGGACCAACAGAAGCUGAUGAUCUAUGGUGAACUUUUUCCCAAGGCUCCGGAAAGCUGCCUAAAGUAGAUGGAGUCUUCUCUGUGUGUGCCCCACUGGUCCUGCAGUUGAAGGAUCCGGUAAAGCAGCCUGCCCUUGGUUUUAUACUCCAGAGGAACGUGAUUCGCUGGACUAAAGCAUUGAAGUGCAUCCUGUUUCCGGGGGGCACUGGAACAGAGCCUGGUCUGUUCUAGCCAGUCCCUUUCUAUCUCAGGAUAACAUUCUACAGUUAUUCUUGAGAACUAUAAUCAAAUAAGCAGGGAGAACUGGGUAAGUCCAAGGCUUAUCUAUACAAGCCUUUAAAUAUUCAAGACCAAAAAAAAAAAAAAAAAAAAAAAAAAAAGCCUUGGUUCUUAUCUUUCUUUCAGGAAAGCAGAGGCUCAUUGUGGAACCCUCAAGGAGCAUGGGGUCGUCUUCAUCCCUCAGUUUAUAAAUGGCCAAGGAGAGUAAUGCAACAAAAACUUCUCAGAGUUAAAAGCCAGAGUUCCUAAAGAACCGUGGACAAAGGGUUCUGUCUAGUGGGCAGAAUUCAUCCAGCGAAGGUGCUUACUGCACUCCCAGCAUGUGCUUGGGAACUUUAUUAAAAUUCCUUCCUAUUGAGAUUUAAAUUGCUGUCCAGAAUUAUACAAUAUAAUGAAUGGGGGCAUUCAUUAUGUGUAUUCUAUGCCUUCUCCAUCAUUGCAUAUUCAGUCCUCGUGCUAGAGAGAGGCAGAUAAUCUACCUUUUAAAUUGAUAGGUCUCCUAACUACAGAGGGUCACAUCUGGAUCUGAUGGCACCUACAGAACUUGGACUCUGAGCGACAAUCAGUGACCAGGUGUGACUUUAUAUUAUCUCUGUCAGGGAAGGGUGAGAGUUUUCAAUGUGUGAACAUAGAAUAAAAUGGUCUGGUGACCAAAAGGCUCUAUUAAAGAUAAUAUGAGAUGUUCAAAA
rnacentral:lncRNA from 1 species